UACAGAGGGGGCAAGCGUUGUUCGGAAUUACUGGGCGUAAAGGGCGCGUAGGCGGCCCGCUAAGUCGAACGUGAAAUCCCCAGGCUCAACCUGGGAACUGCGUCCGAUACUGGGUCGGCUUGAAUCCGGGAGAGGGAUGUGACGUACUACGUGAGUGAGCGGUGAAAUGCGUAGAUAUCGGUGAGGAACACCCGUGGCGAAGGCGGCCAGCUGGGCCGUUCCCUGACGCUGAGGCGCGAAGGCGUGGGGAGCGAACGGG
rnacentral:rRNA from 1 species